UUUGGUAGAAAUUUUCCAUCAUAGUACAUCAUUUUGGAUUUGUUUGUAUGACUUAACAAUUCCCAUUAUUCCCAUUCUAUUCUUCAAUGGGCUGAAUUCCCUUUUGGGGUGGUAGGCUGAAGAUAUCAGAAGAGGCCUCACUGGGGAGCCAGGAGUUAGUUAUCAUGGUGGUAAUUGCAGAUUUCAAUAAGAGAAGACCCUCUAAGGCAAUGACAUAGUAAGAAGAUGUACAUCUGCAAACCAGGAAGGGAGCCCUCGCCUGACAACUAGAUCUGCCAGCACCUUGAUCUUGGAUUUUCU
rnacentral:lncRNA from 1 species